UUUUUACCACCGACAAUGAGCACUAGAAUACCCUAAGUUUGUCAACUUUAGAUAUGAUGGAACCAUAUACCAAAUCAGGUUAAGGCAGCAUCGAGCAAAAGUCUACUUUGUAGAAGGACUGAAACAAUUUAGAAAAGAUUUAUCAAUUUUUGAAUCUGUGAUGAUUAAAUUCUUGGCAUGCAACAAAAAAUCCAUGUUUGAUCUUUAUUUCGUUCCCUCACUAGAAUGCCAGACUUGCGGAAGGUCAGAAGUUAUGUCAAGACAACAUAUUUGGACAAUUGAAAUCACAUAAUCAAUGCUUGGUGCACCAGGACCACUGAGACUCCUUAACUGUGCCAUGACACAUGUAAAUGCCUACGGUCAACACAUGACCAUUCUCAGAAGAUUUGGACCUCCAUUACAGUGGAAUGUUGUCGUGGUUGAUGGUGGAGUUGGGGGCAAAUAUGUUGUACAACCAUGGUAUCAAUUCCUUGCAGAUAAUGAUUUCUCCCACGAUGAUGAAGUCUCCUUCUAUUACAGGACCAUUGAUAAAAUAUGGGAAAUUGUCAUCCGCCGAAGAUAGAAUUGGGACUAUUAGCUUUAGUUUAUGUACUUUGAUUCAUCUAUCUUUUUGUCUUUUAUGUUUUUCCCCUCUCCUCUCAUUUAAUUGAAACAUUAUUUUUUUUGUGUUGGCAUUUUCAUUUUCACCCACUCCUUUUGUUCCUUUCAUUUUCUUCUUUUUUACUACACCCAUCAAAAAUUGGCCUUGCAUCUGUUCUCUUGGCUUUUGCA